rnacentral:lncRNA from 1 species
GAGGAGGAGAGAAGAAAGGAAGAGGAAGUGUUUGAGAGAGACUUGAUCCCCUCUUCCCAAACUUCGGCGACAGAGCCAGAACACUGGAAGCCAGACACAGACGUAGGCACUCUAGGUCCUCAUGGGGAGGGUGAGAUUGGUGCUCAGAGAUGGGUCUGAAGUGUCAAUCAUUUCCCCCUAGAGUGCCACAGAUUUGAUCUCAAAACUUUGCAAUGAAGCCUCUAAGACUAAGGGCUACUCUCAGCCCCUCCAAUUUGGACGCUCAUUCUUGGAAGAACGCUAUGGGCAUUUGCCAAAGUUCCUGCAUUAUUUUGUGGUCCAGAACUGGUUCAAAAAACUGUUCCCUAUCUUUACCCUGGAGGUUAGGAGACUCUGGGAAGCUGAGAAGCCUAACUUGGGAGUGUGGGAGGGGUGGGUAGAAGAGAGAAGGCAAGGGCUAAUUUGCAUGUAGAGUGGAGUUGGACGGUGUGAUCAAAUCUUCAUGCAGGCCUAUCCAGAGAUGGGCACAAUAGAGGGCUUGGCUUCCAUGUUUUUGGACUUCCUGUUAAAAGCUUCCUGGGCGGACAGAGUGAACAUUCUAAAUUCCCUGCUGAGGUUGUUGCCUGACAUCACGGGUAACCUCCGAAUCCGGUUGCAGGCCAAACUCUUGUACUUGCUCAACCAGGAUGAUCCGCCCAAGCUCCAGGUGAGCCCCUCCCCACCCCCAGGGCACCUCCACGUAUCCUGACUUAGUCCCAGAACCCACCACGGUCCACCCCACCCACCCCCCCUGCUCCUGAGUGCAGGACCCGACGCAGAAGGAGUUUGUGAUGAUAGCACUGCAGCUGCUCCUGGCCUGCAACCUGGACGUCCUUGAAGUAGUGCUGGAAAUUAUCUCCUACUACCUGUAUUCUCCAAUCAGUUGCCG